GACGAACGCUGGCGGCGUGCCUAACACAUGCAAGUCGAGCGAGGGGAGUUCUUCGGAAUAAACCUAGCGGCGGACGGGUGAGUAACACGUGGGCAACCUGCCUCAUAGAGGGGAAUAGCCUUCCGAAAGGAAGAUUAAUACCGCAUAACAUUGCAGCUUCGCAUGAAGCAGUAAUUAAAGGAGUAAUCCGCUAUGAGAUGGGCCCCGCGGCGCAUUAGCUAGUUGGUGAGGUAACGGCUCACCAAGGCGACGAUGCGUAGCCGACCUGAGAGGGUGAUCGGCCACAUUGGGACUGAGACACGGCCCAGACUCCUACGGGUGGCAG
rnacentral:rRNA from 1 species